CCUACGGGUGGCAGCAGUGAGGAAUAUUGGUCAAUGGCCGAGAGGCUGAACCAGCCAAGUCGCGUGAGGGAAGACGGCCCUACGGGUUGUAAACCUCUUUUGUCGGGGAGCAAAGCGAACCACGUGUGGCUCAUUGAGAGUACCCGAAGAAAAAGCAUCGGCUAACUCCGUACCAGCAGCCGCGGUAAUACGGAGGAUGCGAGCGUUAUCCGGAUUUAUUGGGUUAAAAGGGUGCGCAGGCGGAGGUGCAAGUCAGCGGUAAAAUUGCGGGGCUCAACCCCGUACUGCCGUUGAAACUGCAUCCCUUGAGUGCGCGAGAGGUAUGCGGAAUGCGUGGUGUAGCGGUGAAAUGCAUAGAUAUCACGCAGAACUCCGAUUGCGAAGGCAGCAUACCGGCGCGCAACUGACGCUCAUGCACGAAAGCGUGGGUAUCGAACAGGAUUAGAUACCCCAGUAGUC
rnacentral:rRNA from 1 species